UACGAAGGGGGCGAGCGUUGUUCGGAUUUACUGAGCGUAAAGGGCGCGCAGGCGGCUCAUUUUGUCAGGCGUGAAAGCCCCGGGCUUAACCUGGGAACUGCGUUUGAUACGGAUGGGCUAGAGUUCGGGAGAGGAGAGUGGAAUUCCCAGUGUAGAGGUGAAAUUCGUAGAUAUUGGGAAGAACACCGGUGGCGAAGGCGGCUCUCUGGACCGAUACUGACGCUGAGGCGCGAAAGCGUGGGGAGCAAACAGG
rnacentral:rRNA from 1 species